AGACCCACCGCUCCGUGACGCUGGGCGCGCUGUCGGUGCCGCGCGUGGCGCCACUGCCCGGUUGCGCGAGAGUU
rnacentral:snoRNA from 1 species